rnacentral:rRNA from 1 species
UCCUACCUCGGGGCGCAGCAGUGAGGAAUAUUGGUCAAUGGACGCAAGUCUGAACCAGCCAUGCCGCGUGCAGGAAGACGGCUCUAUGAGUUGUAAACUUCUUUUGUCGGGGAACAAAGGCGGAGACGCGUCUCCGGAUGAGUGUACCCGAAGAAAAAGCAUCGGCUAACUCCGUGCCAGCAGCCGCGGUAAUACGGAGGAUGCGAGCGUUAUCCGGAUUUAUUGGGUUUAAAGGGUGCGCAGGCGGGAGAUCAAGUCAGCGGUAAAAAGUCGGGGCUCAACCCCGGCCGGCCGUUGGAACUGGG